AGGCCACUAAGUUGAGAGAGAACACCAGUCACAUGGGUUCUGUCACCUCCUCAAACACCACAAGUGCUUGCUGCUGGCAGGCAGCUAGACACAGUAUGGGGACUGCAGAAUCUCUACCUCUGAGUGCCUAAUGAAGGAAUGUGACUUCCCAAGCCUGAAUGGCCAGCCUCUAAAGCAGCUGGAAGGGAAGCAGCUGGCAGCUGGAUCCCAUGGAUAUUAAGCGCCCUUCCAAUAACCUUAUAACCCUGCCAAGACAUCAGUGUCACCAGACAUUACCUAAAAAUGGAAAAUUAAUUCAGCCACAAAUUAGGACCUUUACUCCACCUCCGUCCCCCAAAUAGAUCCUCAUGUGCACAGGAAGUGGUUCUGGUCCUCUGUAACAUAUCCCAAAGCAAGCCAGCUGGACUCAGGCUUCUUUCUUAGGGCAAUAGAAGCAAGAGCUGCUAGAAGAAACAGGCCAGCAUGGAGUAUCUGCUGGGACCUUUGUUAUCUUCCAGCACUUAAAUAUUUGUUGAAGGAAUUGAAGAACUCCUGAGGAAGGAGCCUGGGAAAGAGCCGACAGGGAUUAUUCCACAGAAUCCUGACUUUGAGGAACACUUAGUACCAUCUUGAUGAACACAGUGUUCUAUAAAACAUGGGAAGCCACCAGAAACAGCCCUCAGGCCUGCCCAACUCUGAGACCUUUCAGUGAUGGCCAGAGAAAGUGAGGACCCUGGGAAACAAAUCACACAGUCUGGUAUCUCCCCAUGUACCCAGUGAAGCCCCUGACUUACCAGAAAU